CUCAAACUCAAGAUCCUCCAGCCUCAGCCUCCCGGUAGUUGGGAUUACAGGCACACACCACCACCUCUGCUUCUUUUAUUUUUAAGAAACUUUUACUGUUACUAGGCCCUGGCAACCACGGAUCUGCUUUCUGCCUCUGUGGAUUUGCUUGCAGUGGACAUUUCCUGUAUGGAAUCAGGGAUAUACCUAAGAGUCAAGUUACCGAGUCAAAUGUCUGCUGUUCGAGAAUCAGCAUGCCAGUUAAUCUUUAUCGUCAGCUUCACUGGAUUAAGAGACUCUCGGAGAGGCAAUUGGAUUGUGAGGGUACUGACCUCAUCAGUGGGUUAAACCAUUGAUGAGUUUGUAGCUGAAUGGAUAUUAGGAAGUGGGGCCCGCUUGCAGGAAGUGGGUCAUGGGCGAGUGACCUUGGGGACUAUACCUGACUCCCUAGGCCUUUCCUUACUGGGGUUCCUUCCCUGCUCUCUGCUUCCUGCAUACCUCGAGCUGAGUUACCUUGCUUUUCCAUGCAUUUCCAUCAUGAUGUUUCUGCCUUGGAGCCAGAUAGAUGACCAUGGACUGAAACCUCUGAAACUGUGAGCCCAAAUAAACUUCUUUAAGCUGCAGGUGCCAGGCAUUUGGUUCCAGCAGUGGAAAGCUGACCAAUACAACCAUCAAACUAUUUUCUACAGCAGCUGCACCAUUUUACAUUCCCACCAACAAUGUAUGAUUGUUCUAGUUGCUCCACCUCCUCAGCAACAUUUGUUAUUUCCCAUUUUGGGGUUACAGCCAUCCUAAGAGAUGUGACCUGGUAUCUCAUUGUGUUUUUUUUUUUGGCACUGGGGAUCGAACUCGGGUCCUUGUGCUUGCACAGCAGGCAGUAAAACCACUGAGCUAAAUCUCCGGCAAUUUCAUUGUGUUUUUGACUUACAUUUCCAUAGUGGUUAAUGAUGGAGAGUAUGUUUUUUAUGUGGUAAUUGCCAUUAACAUAUCUUUUUCAUAUCCUUUUUUAGAAAUAUCUAUUUAACCAUUGAGUUUUUUUCUUUUUACUGUUGAACUGUAAGAGUUCUUUAUAUAUUUAUGGACAUGAAUUCCUCAUCAGAUUUGAAAAUGUUUCCUCUCAUCUUGGUUGUUUUUUAACUUUCUUGUUAAUGUCCUUUGACUAACAGUUUUUUGGUUUUUUUUUUUACUUUUGAUGAAAUUCAAUUUAGCUAUUUUUUUUUGUUUAGUUGUCUGUGUUUUAAGUGUCCUGUCAUCUUACUUUUUAAACAGCUGCAUCAUAUUCCACUGUGUGGCCAGACCAUAAUUUACUGGGCCGGGUGCCUGUGGAUGGACACUUAAGUAGCUUCCUCCCCGCUUCCUUUUUGUAGCUUCCCCUUUGCAAGUGAUGUCCAGGUCUGCAUGCCCAGGGAGAUCAGUGUGUUAAAUGCCUUUAUCAUGUUGAUGGAAACUGACAAGCCCACUGGUAGAUCCUUACUGCGGGCUGGACUCCAUGCAAAAUGCUGGCAGACAGCUGAGAACAAGGUAGCGAUGUCCCUGCCCUCAAAAACAGGUACAAAUAUAAUGUCAGGUGGGGACAAGUGCUGUGAAAUGAAGCUUCCUCAGAUGGGGGCAGGAUGAUGGCAGGGAAGGCCUCUCUGAGGAGAUGACAUUUGAGCAGACGCCUGAAGGAAGGAAAUGAGACUUCAUGCAGAUCCCAGGUGAGGAAGUGCAAAGGCCCUGAGGCAGGAGCAUGUUUGGUGUCUUUAAGGACCAAGAAAAAAGGUGUAUCAGUCCAUUUUCUUUCCUUUUUAGCGGGGAGAGGGUUGAGACAGGGUCUUACUGUGUAGCCCAGGCUGACUUCAAACUUAAGCAAUCCUCCUGCCUCAGCUUCUCUGGUGCUGAGAUUACAGGUGAGGGCCACCACACCUGGCCUGUAUUAGUCCAUCUUCUGUUACUAUAAUGAAGUGUCUGUGCCUUUAUUUAAAAAAGGGCUAAGUUCUGCAUAAUGAAAGAGUAUUUAGCUCGUGGUUAUGGAGAUUCAAGGGCAUGGCACUGUCAUUAGCUCAGCUCUGGUGAGCACCUGGUGAUUGAUGGACAUCAUCACAAUGGCAGGAGCCACGCAAAAGGGAGACAGGAAGCCAGAGAGAGAGGGAGAGGGGCCAGGCUUGCUGUCUUCUAACAGCCCUCUGGUGAGAGCUAACAGCACCGGGAAAGCUAAGCAGUCCCUUUAAGGACAUGCCCUCUGUGACAUAAGGACUGCCCACUAUAACAUAAGGACCGCCCACUGAGGCCACCUCUUAAAGGUCCCUCCACCUAACAAGGCCCACUGAGAGCCAAGCUCCCAUCACCUGAAUCCUUGGGGGACGUGUAUGACCAUGGCAGAGGCCACAGGGCUGGAGCAGAGACCAAAGGGAACAGGUCGGGGGAGAUGGGGUCAAGCAGCGUUAAGGGCCCAGAACAUAUGGCACCAUUUAGGCCACACGUGUGUUGAAUGAAUAAAUGAAGGAAGAGGCAGCUGGGUGGCUGUGGGAGUCUACAUCGUUGGAUGACCUGCCGCAGGGUGAGGCAUCAGGGCGGGCUUCCUGGGGGAGGGGUCACAGCUGAGACAGGGUUAGGUAGGAGCUGGCUGGGGAGGGGCAAGUGCAAGAGUCUGAGUUUUCCAGGCACAGGGCACUGCACAGAGGUUCAGACCCAGGGGCAUGAACAAUUAAUUUCAUUUGUGAGCAGUUUGGUUUACAAACAGAAGCAUUUAGCAAUUUUGCUUGUGUUUGUAAACUCUGUAUCAGGUGGUGAACACGGUCACCAUCUUUCCUGCACUAACAUGAACAUGGC
rnacentral:lncRNA from 1 species